rnacentral:rRNA from 1 species
CACGCCGCGUGAGUGACGAAGGCCUUCGGGUUGUAAAACUCUGUCUUCUGUGACGAACAAGCCUGUGAGUGGAAAGCUCAGGCCCUGACGGUAACAGAGAAGGAAGCCACAGCUAACUACGUGCCAGCAGCCGCGGUAAUACGUAGGCGGCAAGCGUUGUCCGGAAUCACUGGGCGUAAAGCGCGCGCAGGCGGCGAUUUACGUCUGGGGUGAAAGCCCGGAGCUCAACUCCGGGACUGCCUUGGAUACGGGAUCGCUUGAGGAUUGGAGAGGCAAGGGGAAUUCCAUGUGUAGCGGUGAAAUGCGUAGAGAUGUGGAGGAACACCUGUGGCGAAGGCGCCUUGCUGGCCAAUUUCUGACGCUGAGGCGCGAAAGCGGGGGGAGCAAACAGGAUUAGAUACCCUGGUAGUCCACGCCGUAAACGAUGAGUGCUAGGUGUUGGGGGGUACCACCCUCAGUGCCGAAGCUAACGCAUUAAGCACUCCGCCCGGGGAGUACGGUCGCAAGACUGAAACUCA